rnacentral:rRNA from 1 species
AACGAACGCUGGCGGCAUGCCUAACACAUGCAAGUCGAACGAGACCUUCGGGUCUAGUGGCGCACGGGUUCGUAACGCGUGGGAACCUGCCCUUAGGUUCGGAAUAACUCCCCGAAAGGGGUGCUAAUACCGGAUAAUGUCUUCGGACCAAAGAUUUAUCGACUUUGGAUGGGCCCGCGUUGGAUUAGCUAGUUGGUAGGGUAAAAGCCUACCAAGGCGACGAUCCAUAGCUGGUCUGAGAGGAUGAUCAGCCACACUGGGACUGAGACACGGCCCAGACUCCUACGGGAUGGAGCAGUGGGGAAUAUUGGACAGUGGGCGGAAGCCUGAUCCAGCAAUGCCGCGUGAGUGAUGAAGGCCUUAGGGUUGUAAAGCUCUUUUACCCGGGAUGAUAAUGACAGUACCGGGAGAAUAAGCUCCGGCUAACUCCGUG